AAUAGAUACCCGGGUAGUCCACGCCCUAAACGUUGCGAACUAGGUGUUGGCGAGAUUGACCUCGUCAGUGCCGCAGCUAACGCAUUAAGUUCGCCGCCUGGGAAGUACGGUCGCAAGAUUAAAACUCAAAGGAAUAGGCGGGGGCCCGCACAAGCAGCGGAGCGUGUGGUUUAAUUCGAGGCUACGCGAAGAACCUUACCAAGGCUUGACAUGAACCGGAAAGACCUGGAAACAGGUCCCCCACUUGUGGUCGGUUUACAGGUGGUGCAUGGUUGUCGUCAGCUCGUGUCGUGAGAUGUUGGGUUAAGUCCCGCAACGAGCGCAACCCUCGUUCUAUGUUGCCAGCACGUGAUGGUGGGGACUCAUAGGAGACUGCCGGGGUCAACUCGGAGGAAGGUGGGGAUGACGUCAAAUCAUCAUGCCCUUUAUGUCCUGGGCUACACACGUGCUACAAUGGUCGGUACAACGAGGAGCUACACAGCGAUGUGACGCAAAUCUCUUAAAGCCGAUCCCAGUUCGGAUUGCAGGCUGCAAC
rnacentral:rRNA from 1 species